AUUGAACGCUGGCGGCAGGCCUAACACAUGCAAGUCGAACGGUAACAGGAAGAAGCUUGCUUCUUUGCUGACGAGUGGCGGACGGGUGAGUAAUGUCUGGGAAACUGCCUGAUGGAGGGGGAUAACUACUGGAAACGGUAGCUAAUACCGCAUAACGUCGCAAGACCAAAAAGGGGGACCUUCUGGCCUCUUGCCAUCGGAUGUGCCCAGAUGGGAUUAGCUAGUAGGUGGGGUAACGGCUCACCUAGGCGACGAUCCCUAGCUGGUCUGAGAGGAUGACCAGCCACACUGGAACUGAGACACGGUCCAGACUCCUACGGGAGGCAGCAGUGGGGAAUAUUGCACAAUGGGCGCAAGCCUGAUGCAGCCAUGCCGCGUGUAUGAAGAAGGCCUUCGGGUUGUAAAGUACUUUCAGCGGGGAGGAAGGGAGUAAAGUUAAUACCUUUGCUCAUUGACGUUACCCGCAGAAGAAGCACCGGCUAACUCCGUG
rnacentral:rRNA from 1 species